AGUGCGCAUGCGGCGAAAUGCGGCGCUGCGUCUCCCGGCUGUGGGUGUGGUUGGUACUGAGGGCUCAGUGGGUGCCGCCAGCCUAGAGGGAGUGGAGGGGUGAGCACGUCAGCGGUGGGGGGCGCAGGUCCAGCUUUCUCCAUUUUUAAUUAUUUGAUGGGGUAAAUUUGAGCAAAUUUCUCGACUUGUCGACAUUUGUUAUUAACUGAGCGGGAAUUAGGAGACGAACCUGGUCCUCUCCGCACAGCCCAGCAGGUACGCCGCCUGUGUGCCUGUGGAGAAUGGCGGCUCCUGUAGGGCCGACAGGUGUGGACCAAGUAGCUGUGAAAUUUCUUCUGAAGAAAACGCACGAGGAGGACGCGAGUGAGCUCAGUGGAGGAGGGGCGCUACCCCAGGGGACGUCCCCAUGCAUGGGCUUGUGAACCCCGAAUAUCUGAGACGGUCAAUUUAGAAAGUUUAUUUUGCCAAGGUUGAGGACGCACGCCCGUGACACAGCCUCAGGAGGUCUUGACGACAUGUGCCCAACGUGGUCGGGACACAGCUUGGUUUUAUACAUUUUAGGGAGACAGGAGACAUCAAUAUAUGUAAGAUAAACGUUGGUUCCGUCGGGAAAGGCGGGACAACUCGAAGCAGGGAGGGGGCUUCCAGGUCACAGGCUAAGCAGCUUUAGGAACUGAAAGGUUCAUGAGGCUGUAAGGAAGAGUCGAGUUGCUCCAGAUCCUGCGAGGAGGCUGCUACACACAUGCAGAAGUCAUGCUGGUGGCCUGGACUCCGAAGGGAGAGAAGUGGAUUUGAGAGACAUUUAGGAGGUAGGAUUGCUGGGGCCUUGGUGAUAGCUUGGUUGUGGAGGGUGGAGCAGGAGGGGUGUCAAGCAGAUAUUGCUGUUAGAUUACCACCUGGGAUAUUAGGGAGAGUGAGUGGGCUGUUUUUUCUUUGUUAGGCAGAACUUGGUUUUGUGGUGCGGUAGGGUGCCUCAAACCAAAAGCCUGACUUCCUUGUAUAGGCCAGACCCCACAUGGCCGUUCCUGUGACUGCCAGGCCACUUUGAGGCUGAGAGAGGUGGUUUUGUCUGGCCUCUGCCCUGCACGUGUUUACGAAUGACUUCUCUGUGUUGGCAGAUUUGGGGGUCCACCAUAUAGGAUCCUGUGAAGAGACCUCAAAGGUCUUUAAUCCAAUUUAUAAAACAUCUUUUUGUUCAUUAUAUCAUUUCCACAAUCAAAGAUGAAUAAAAUAUACAGAGGUUUAUUUAGUGAAUAAGGUUGAUGGUGCACCUGUGCUAGGCAGUGUUUUAGUUCGUUGAGACACCAAGGAGUUGAGCCAAUCCUUUACUUUGGAGUUUUGUGUCUGUAAGUCCUGCUGUUGAGAGCUGUGUGUGUUAAAAUGUCUGAUUUGGGCAGGUGAGAUCUGGGCCGUCUGUAAGGUUAGGUGAGAGGAGGUUGGUGUCCAGCAAGUAUCCAGUGCCCCAUCAACAUCCCAGUUCUUGUCCACCAAUCUUCCAGUUCUAGGACUGAUGCGGAGGCCCUCAGAGCGACUUCAGAGGAAAAGUAGUGUGCUCUGUGGCUGUCUGUUUUGGAGUGUAAAUUGUAAAUCCCCUGCAAACAAGAAGUUGGAAACAAGUAGCGUUUCAGCUUGAGUUUCUUGUAAAUGGCUUGCAGUUGUAUGAACCAGAGCAUGUAUACCACAGGGCAACACGAGGGUCCCUCUAUCACCAUUUCUCCCAGUGGCCUAGGUGGGGAUUUAAACAGAAUAAUGUGUGCAGCCUCAUUGUGUGAAAGUCCAGUAUUUUGUGCUUGGAGUGUCAUCAGGGAAGGGCCCCUGACUUUGAAGGCUGCUGCAUCUCGCUCCAUGAUAGGAGGCACAACGUGGCCUUGGUCUUACGAAGACCUUGGGUGCCACAGCUCACUUCAGCCCUGAUGAGCCUGACGCAGGCGCUGGGUCCUGGUUCUGGAGGUGAGAAUACACCCUGGGCCUCCACUGCAUGGCUGCACUGUGAGCAUUCAGGUGCUUGUUUGGGGACUGAUACGGAGUCCUGUGCCAGAUGCAGUGGUGCACACCUGGGAACCAAGGGUCCCUGCUUCUACUGGAGAAUCUGGACAGAUGUAAAAGGUAAGAAAGGCUGGGGGUAGGGGUUAGGGUUAAGGUUAGGCUUGGGGCUGGGGUUGGGAUUGUGGCUGGGGUUGGG